GAUGAACGCUGGCGGCGUGCCUAAUACAUGCAAGUCGAGCGAACAGAUAAGGAGCUUGCUCCUUUGACGUUAGCGGCGGACGGGUGAGUAACACGUGGGUAACCUACCUAUAAGACUGGGAUAACUUCGGGAAACCGGAGCUAAUACCGGAUAACAUUUGGAACCGCAUGGUUCUAAAGUGAAAGAUGGUUUUGCUGUCACUUAUAGAUGGACCCGCGCCGUAUUAGCUAGUUGGUAAGGUAACGGCUUACCAAGGCAACGAUACGUAGCCGACCUGAGAGGGUGAUCGGCCACACUGGAACUGAGACACGGUCCAGACUCCUACGGGAGGCAGCAGUAGGGAAUCUUCCGCAAUGGGCGAAAGCCUGACGGAGCAACGCCGCGUGAGUGAUGAAGGGUUUCGGAUCGUAAAACUCUGUUAUUAGGGAAGAACAAACGUGUAAGUAACUGUGCACGUCUUGACGGUACCUAAUCAGAAAGCCACGGCUAACUACGUG
rnacentral:rRNA from 1 species